rnacentral:rRNA from 1 species
AGAGUUUGAUCAUGGCUCAGGAUGAACGCUGGCGGCGUGCUUAAUACAUGCAAGUCGAACGGAGGGAGGUAGUAAUACUUUCCUUAGUGGCGAACGGGUGAGAAACGCGUUGGUGACCUGCCCCGAAGAGCGGGACAACAGACCGAAAGGUUUGCUAAUACCGCAUGAGCUCUUGCUGGCUAGAGUGGCAAGAGGAAAGGCCGAAAGGCGCUUUGGGAGGGGCCUGCGUCCCAUCAGCUAGUUGGCGGGGUAACAGCCCACCAAGGCGAUGACGGGUAGGGGACCUGAGAGGGUGACCCCCCACAAUGGAACUGAAACACGGUCCAUACACCUACGGGUGGCAGCAGUCGGGAAU